CAUAUAUAAAGCCAAGACAUGAUAGCGAGUAACUGUGCAACAGGACAUACUCUGGACUAGUUGAGUUAGCUCCAUCCUUCCUCCAAAAUGCCUCCCUCUGAUACGCAACAGGCAGAGCAGCAGCAGAAACCCCCACCAGGGUACCCUCAGCCUCAAGGGGAUUCUCCUGCUCCAAAGAAGUCCAGGCGCCCAAGAACAGCAAAGAAAGGGGAGAGAGGAUUCCUUGAAGGAUGCUUGGCGGGGCUUUGCUGCUGCUGGCUUUGCGAGGAAUGCUGCUGCUGAUUGCGUGACUGGUGCAGAUGGCGAUACGAAUCUAGCUACCUGAUUACCAACCAUUAGUGUGUAACCUUCCUUUUGUGGGAGUUAACAAUAACGUUGCAUCAUGUCUAUGUUCUAAGCUCUAGAUCUGUGAAGAAGUAUGGCGAUAAGAUGGUUUUGUGAUGAAUAAAGUGGUUGUCAGUUUCUUGUAAGCAAAUAUGGUCUUUCAAGUAUUUCCUACAGUAAUUACUGGUCAAAUG